rnacentral:tRNA from 1 species
GGAGGCUUAGCUCAGCUGGGAGAGCAUCUGCCUUACAAGCAGAGGGUCGGGGGUUCGAUCCCCUCAGCCUCCACCC